rnacentral:rRNA from 1 species
AGUGAACGCUGGCGGUAGGCCUAACACAUGCAAGUCGAACGGCAGCACAGUAAGAGCUUGCUCUUACGGGUGGCGAGUGGCGGACGGGUGAGGAAUACAUCGGAAUCUACUUUUUCGUGGGGGAUAACGUAGGGAAACUUACGCUAAUACCGCAUACGACCUACGGGUGAAAGCAGGGGAUCUUUGGACCUUGCGCGAUUGAAUGAGCCGAUGUCGGAUUAGCUAGUUGGCGGGGUAAAGGCCCACCAAGGCGACGAUCCGUAGCUGGUCUGAGAGGAUGAUCAGCCACACUGGAACUGAGACACGGUCCAGACUCCUACGGGAGGCAGCAGUGGGGAAUAUUGGACAAUGGGCGCAAGCCUGAUCCAGCCAUACCGCGUGGGUGAAGAAGGCCUUCGGGUUGUGAAGCCCUUUUGUUGGGAAAGAAAAGCAGCAGGUUAAUACCCCGCUGUUCUGACGGUACCCGGAGAAUAAGCACCGGCUAACUUCGUG